rnacentral:rRNA from 1 species
GCUACGGGAGGCAGCAGUGAGGAAUAUUGGUCACUGGACGAGAGUCUGAACCAGCCAAGUAGCGUGAAGGAUGACUGCCCUAUGGGUUGUAAACUUCUUUUAUAUGGGAAUAAAACGUUCCACGUGUGGGGUUUUGUAUGUACCAUAUGAAGAAGGAUCGGCUAACUCCGUGCCAGCCGCCGCGGUAAUACGGGGGAUCCGAGCGUUAUACGGAUUUAUUGGGUUUAAAGGGAGCGUAGGUGGAUUGUUAAGUCAGUUGUGACAGUUUGCGGCUCAACCGUAAAAUUGCAGUUAAAACUGGCAUUCUUGAGUAGCGUAGAGGUGGGCGGAAUUCGGGGUGUAGCGGUGAAAUGCUUAGAUAUCACGAAGAACUCCGAUUGCGAAGGCAGUUCACUGGACUGCAACUGACACUGAGGCUCGAAAGUGUGGGUAUCAACCAGGAUUAGAUACCCUGUAGUC